rnacentral:rRNA from 1 species
CUCUUCCCAUUCCGAACAGAGUAGUUAAGCCCCGUUGCGCCGAUGGUACUGCAUCUGAACUGGUGUGGCAGAGUAGGUAGUCGCCAGGU